GACAGAGGGGGCGAGCGUUGUCCGGAAUCACUGGGCGUAAAGCGCGUGUAGGCGGUCGCGUGCGCCGGUGCUGAAAGCGCCCGGCUUAACCGGGCGAGGCGUGCCGAUACGAUGCGACUGGAGGCAGGCAGGGGGCGGCAGAACUCCGGGUGUAGCGGUGAAAUGCGUAGAGCUCCGGAGGAACGCCGGUGGGGGGGCCGGCCGCCUGGGCCUGACCUGACGCUGAGACGCGACAGCGUGGGGAGCAAACCGG
rnacentral:rRNA from 1 species